rnacentral:rRNA from 1 species
AAGUGAGAAUGCCGGUGUGAGUAGCGAAAGACGGGUGAGAAUCCCGUCCACCGAUUGACUAAGGUUUCCAGAGGAAGGCUCGUCCGCUCUGGGUUAGUCGGGUCCUAAGCUGAGGCCGACAGGCGUAGGCGAUGGAUAACAGGUUGAUAUUCCUGUACCACCUAUAAUCGUUUUAAUCGAUGGGGGGACGCAGUAGGAUAGGCGAAGCGUGCGAUUGGAUUGCACGUCUAAGCAGUAAGGCUGAGUAUUAGGCAAAUCCGGUACUCGUUAAGGCUGAGCUGUGAUGGGGAGAAGACAUUGUGUCUUCGAGUCGUUGAUUUCACACUGCCGAGAAAAGCCUCUAGAUAGAAAAUAGGUGCCCGUACCGCAAACCGACACAGGUAGUCAAGAUGAGAAUUCUAAGGUGAGCGAGCGAACUCUCGUUAAGGAACUCGGCAAAAUGACCCCGUAACUUCGGGAGAAGGGGUGCUCUUUAGGGUUAACGCCCAGAAGAGCCGCAGUGAAUAGGCCCAAGCGACUGUUUAUCAAAAACACAGGUCUCUGCUAAACCGUAAGGUGAUGUAUAGGGGCUGACGCCUGCCCGGUGCUGGAAGGUUAAGAGGAGUGGUUAGCUUCUGCGAAGCUACGAAUCGAAGCCCCAGUAAACGGCGGCCGUAACUAUAACGGUCCUAAGGUAGCGAAAUUCCUUGUCGGGUAAGUUCCGACCCGCACGAAAGGCGUAACGAUUUGGGCACUGUCUCAACGAGAGACUCGGUGAAAUCAUAGUACCUGUGAAGAUGCAGGUUACCCGCGACAGGACGGAAAGACCCCGUGGAGCUUUACUGUAGCCUGAUAUUGAAAUUCGGCACAGCUUGUACAGGAUAGGUAGGAGCCUUUGAAACGUGAGCGCUAGCUUACGUGGAGGCGCUGGUGGGAUAC